rnacentral:rRNA from 1 species
CCUACGGGAGGCAGCAGUGGGGAAUAUUGGACAAUGGGGGCAACCCUGAUCCAGCCAUGCCGCGUGAGUGAUGAAGGCCUUCGGGUUGUAAAGCUCUUUUGGUGGGGACGAUGAUGACGGUACCCACAGAAUAAGCUCCGGCUAACUUCGUGCCAGCAGCCGCGGUAAUA